rnacentral:rRNA from 3 species
ACUCGUGACGGUGGAUGUCUUGGCUCCAGCAUCGAUGAAGAACGCAGCAA